UACGUAGGGGGCAAGCGUUGUUCGGAUUUAUUGGGCGUAAAGAGCGUGUAGGCGGCCACACAGGUCUGCUGUGAAAACUCGAGGCUCAACCUCGAGCUGUCGGUGGAAACCGUGUGGCUAGAGUCCGGAAGAGGAGAGUGGAAUUCCCGGUGUAGCGGUGAAAUGCGCAGAUAUCGGGAAGAACACCCGUGGCGAAGGCGGCUCUCUAGUACGGUACUGACGCUGAGACGCGAAAGCGUGGGGAGCGAACAGG
rnacentral:rRNA from 1 species